GAUGAACGCUGGCGGCGUGCCUAAUACAUGCAAGUCGAGCGAACAGACGAGGAGCUUGCUCCUCUGACGUUAGCGGCGGACGGGUGAGUAACACGUGGAUAACCUACCUAUAAGACUGGGAUAACUUCGGGAAACCGGAGCUAAUCCCGGAUAAUAUAUUGAACCGCAUGGUUCAAUAGUGAAAUACGGUUUUGCUGUCACUUAUAGAUGGAUCCGCGCCGCAUUAGCUAGUUGGUAAGGUAACGGCUUACCAAGGCAACGAUGCGUAGCCGACCUGAGAGGGUGAUCGGCCACACUGGAACUGAGACACGGUCGAGACUCCUACGGGAGGCAGCAGUAGGGAAUCUGCCGCAAUGGGCGAAAGCUUGACGGAGCAACGCCGCGUGAGUGAUGAAGGUCUUCGGAUCGUAAAACUCUGUUAUUAGGGAAGAACAAAUGUGUAAGUAACUAUGCACGUCUUGACGGUACCUAAUCAGAAAGCCACGGCUAACUACGU
rnacentral:rRNA from 1 species